rnacentral:tRNA from 2 species
UCCGGGAUCGUCUAGCUGGCAGGACACUGGCCUCUGAACCCAGAAAGACAGGUUCGAAUCCUGUGCCCGGAACUA